rnacentral:tRNA from 1 species
GGUCCUAUGAUGUAAUGGUUAGCACUCUGGACUCUGAAUCCAGCGAUCCGAGUUCAAAUCUCGGUAGGACCU